UUUAUUUUAAAAAUGUAUUAUAAAAAAACCUCCUCCCCCCCCCAUUACACAUACUGCCCCACAAACACUAUCCCCAUACACACACACUGCCCCCCUGUAAUGGGGCAGUGUGUGUAAUGGGGGGGGGGGAGGCUUUUUAAUAAUAAUUAAUAAAAAAAAAUUAAAAAUUUAAUAAAAUAAAUAUGUCCCCCCUCCCUUCUUACCUUUAUUGAGCAGGAGGGGGGACAU
rnacentral:sRNA from 1 species